rnacentral:rRNA from 1 species
UACGUAGGGGGCUAGCGUUGUCCGGAAUCAUUGGGCGUAAAGAGCGUGUAGGCGGUCCGGUAAGUCCGCUGUGAAAGUCGGGGGCUCAACCCUCGAAAGCCGGUGGAUACUGUCGGGCUCGAGUACGGAAGAGGCGAGUGGAAUUCCUGGUGUAGCGGUGAAAUGCGCAGAUAUCAGGAGGAACACCAAUUGCGAAGGCAGCUCGCUGGGACGUUACUGACGCUGAGACGCGAAAGCGUGGGGAGCAAACAGG